rnacentral:misc_RNA from 1 species
GAUGAAGAACGCAGCGAAAUGCGAUAAGUAAUGUGAAUUGCAGAAUUCAGUGAAUCAUCGAAUCUUUGAACGCACAUUGCGCCCGCCAGUAUUCUGGCGGGCAUGCCUGUUCGAACGUCAUUUUCACCAUCAAGCUCUGCUUGUGUUGGGGUCCUGCGGCUGCCCGCAGGCCCUGAAACCCAGUGGCGGGCCCGCUAGUCACACCGAGCGCAGUAGCACAUCUCGCUCAGGGCGUGCGGCGGGUUCUUGCCGUAAAACAACCCCCCCUUUUCACCAAGGUUGACCUCGGAUCAGGUAGGAAUACCCGCUGAACUUAAGCAUAUCAAUAAGCGGAGGA